rnacentral:rRNA from 1 species
UACGAAGGGGGCUAGCGUUGCUCGGAAUCACUGGGCGUAAAGCGUGCGCAGGCGGUUCGUUAAGUUCGUUGUGAAAGCCCCGGGCUCAACCUGGGAAUGGCAAUGGAAACUGGCGGGCUUGAGUGCGGCAGAGGGGGGUGGAAUUCCGCGUGUAGCAGUGAAAUGCGUAGAGAUGCGGAGGAACACCGAUGGCGAAGGCAGCCCCCUGGGCCGACACUGACGCUCAGGCACGAAAGCGUGGGGAGCAAACAGG